GGUAAAGUGCCUGAGCAAAGGGUUACCUUGAUGAGGUAAAUCACAUGAAAAUUCAUCUUUAUCU
rnacentral:tRNA from 1 species